rnacentral:tRNA from 1 species
UGUAGCUCAGUGGCAGAGUGCUUGCCUUACAUGCAUGAAGUCCUGAGUUUGAUUCCUCAGUA